rnacentral:rRNA from 1 species
GUCUACGGCCAUACCACCCUGAACGCGCCCGAUCUCGUCUGAUCUCGGAAGCUAAGCAGGGUCGGGCCUGGUUAGUACUUGGAUGGGAGGUGGCCUGGGCUAGUGGUCA